GCGAGUCUGCCUUGAAGAUCGGAGUGCUUGCACUCUGUGAAACAAGAUACAGGCUAGCGGCGGACGGGUGAGUAACACGUGAGUAACCUGCCCAAAGAGAUCGGGAUAACACCUGGAAAACAGAUGCUAAUACCGGAUAACAACAGAUGAUGCCUAUCAACUGUUUAAAAGAUGGUUCUGCUAUCGCUCUUGGAUGGACCUGCGGUGCAUUAGCUAGUUGGUAGGGGUAAACGGGCCUACCAAGGCGAUGAUGCAUAGCCGAGUUGAGAGACUGAUCGGCCACAUUGGGACUGAGACACGGCCCAAACUCCUGCGGGAGGCAGCAGUAGGGGAAUCUUCCACAAUGGACGCAAGUCUGAUGGAGCAAACGCCGCGUGAGUGAAGAAGGGUUUCGGCUCGUAAAGCUCUGUUGUUGGUGAAGAAGGACAGGGGGUAGUAACUGACCUUUGUUUGACGGUAAUCAAUUAGAAAAGUCACGGGCUAACUACGUGCCCAGCAGCCGCGGGUAAA
rnacentral:rRNA from 1 species